GUGGGGAAUCUUGCGCAAUGGGCGAAAGCCUGACGCAGCCAUGCCGCGUGAAUGAUGAAGGUCUUAGGAUUGUAAAAUUCUUUCACCGGGGACGAUAAUGACGGUACCCGGAGAAGAAGCUCCGGCUAACUUCGUGCCAGCAGCCGCGGUAAUACGAAGGGGGCUAGCGUUGCUCGGAAUUACUGGGCGUAAAGGGCGCGUAGGCGGAUCGUUAAGUCAGGGGUGAAAUCCCAGAGCUCAACUCUGGAACUGCCCUUGAUACUGGCGAUCUUGAGUGUGAGAGAGGUAUGUGGAACUCCGAGUGUAGAGGUGAAAUUCGUAGAUAUUCGGAAGAACACCAGUGGCGAAGGCGACAUACUGGCUCAUUACUGACGCUGAGGCGCGAAAGCGUGGGGAGCAAACAGGAUUAGAUACCCGGGUAGUCC
rnacentral:rRNA from 1 species